ACAGACUGUCGAUACGCCGCGUCCACGCAGGCAGAGCAGAGCAAGCGCCCGUGCUCCUCCUCCCGUCCCCUUCUUCCCUCCUCCGCCGCGAGAUAUUUCUCCUGUCAGCUCCGCCUCCUCGCCGCCGUCGCCGUCGCCAUGAACUGCCUCCAGCACCUGCUCAAGGAGCCUCCGAUCUUAGCGGGAUCCAGAUCGAUGAGGCGGCCCUCGCCGCUCAACCUCGCCAUGGUUCGCGGAGGGAGUCGCCGCUCCAACACCGUCAAAACUGCAUCCGGGACAUCCACUUCCAGCGCGGAGAACAGCGCCAUGGAGCCAGGCGCGGACAAGUCCGACACGUAUAGCACCAACAUGACACAAGCCAUGGGAGCAGCGUUGACGUACAGGCAUGAGCUUGGGAUGAAUUACAAUUUUAUAUGCCCAGACUUGAUUGUAGGCUCCUGCUUACAGAGCCCAAGUGAUGUUGAUAAGCUUCGGGAGAUUGGUGUAAAAACUGUAUUCUGCUUGCAGCAAGAUCCAGACCUUGAAUACUUUGGAGUUGACAUUUGUGCCAUUCAAGAUUAUUGUCUAGAAUGCAAAGACGUUGAGCACUGCCGUGAAGAAGUUAGGGAUUUCGAUGCUUUCGAUUUGCGACUGAGGCUUCCUGCUGUGAUUAGCAAAUUGUACAAGCUUGCCAGCCAUAAUGGUGGAAUAACAUAUAUACAUUGUACUGCUGGACUUGGAAGAGCUCCUGCUGUGGCACUGGCAUAUAUGUUCUGGAUUCUUGGUUACAAUCUUAAUGAAGGACAUCAACUACUGCAGAGUAAAAGGCCUAGCUUUCCAAAGUUGGAAGCCAUCAAAUUGGCAACAGCUGACAUUCUCACGGGCUUGUCAAAAAACUGCAUCACUCUGAAGUGGAAAAAUGGCAGUUGUUCUUCUGUUGAAAUUUCUGGGCUUGACAUUGGGUGGGGACAGAAAAUUCCCCUGGCAUAUGAUGAGGAGAAAAGAGCAUGGUUUCUUGAGAGAGAGUUACCUGACGGUAUGAGUACAAAUAUGUAGUGGAUGGCAACUGGGUGUGCAAUGAGCAUGAGAUGAAGACCAAACCCAAUGCGGACGGCCAUGUGAAUAACUACAUCCAAGUUGCCAGGGAUGGCACGAGCGAUGAAGAGAAGGCGAUGAGGGAGCGGUUGACUGGGCCAGACCCCGAUCUAACAAAAGAGGAAAGGCUGAUGAUUAAAGAGUACCUGGAACAGUACACCGAGCAAUAAGAGAACUUCCCUUUUGGUGCGACCGGCUCGAGAUGCAGCCGGGAACACCUAGUGAUGAAAUGAAAUGAAACUAGACUACGCAUCUCUGAAGCGCUGCUGUGCUCGGGUCGAGUAGCAAGCAGCUGUUAACUGGAAAAAAUAGUUUGGCUCGAGUUCUAGUUACUAUUCGUAGCAUCCCUCUUUAUCUUGUCCUGUGUAAACACGUGCGUGCUCCAUGAGACGAGCAAUCAGUGAGUGUCCCUGACAGUACCGUUCUAGCAGUCGUAUAAAAGUACAAUAAAGGGCUGUGCUGUGCACCUCCACACAAAACGUGUAAAAUCAUUUAGGUAUGUUACUACUACUACUGAAGAAUAAAAUCAGAUGACAUGAUUCUCUUCAUAUG
rnacentral:rRNA from 1 species